UGGGGAAUAUUGGACAAUGGGGGCAACCCUGAUCCAGCAAUGCCGCGUGUGUGAAGAAGGUCUUCGGAUUGUAAAGCACUUUCGACGGGGACGAUGAUGACGGUACCCGUAGAAGAAGCCCCGGCUAACUUCGUGCCAGCAGCCGCGGUAAUACGAAGGGGGCUAGCGUUGCUCGGAAUGACUGGGCGUAAAGGGCGUGUAGGCGGUUUACACAGUCAGAUGUGAAAUCCCCGGGCUUAACCUGGGAGCUGCAUUUGAUACGUGUAGGCUAGAGUGUGAGAGAGGGUUUGUG
rnacentral:rRNA from 1 species